AGAGUUUGAUCCUGGCUAAGGAUGAACGCUGGCGGCGUGCUUAACACAUGCAAGUCGAACGAACUGCUUUAAAGGAAGUCUUCGGAUGGAAUUUAAAGUAGUUAGUGGCGGACGGGUGAGUAACGCGUGGGAAACCUGCCCUAUACAGGGGGAUAGCCUCGGGAAACCGGGAUUAAUACCCCAUAAAACUCUAGUAUCGCAUGAUACAUGAGUCAAAGAUUUAUCGGUAUAGGAUGGUCCCGCGUCUGAUUAGCUAGUUGGUGAGGUAACGGCUCACCAAGGCGACGAUCAGUAGCCGGCCUGAGAGGGUGAACGGCCACACUGGAACUGAGACACGGUCCAGACUCCUACGGGAGGCAGCAGUGGGGAAUAUUGCACAAUGGGGGAAACCCUGAUGCAGCGACGCCGCGUGAGCGAAGAAGGCCUUCGGGUCGUAAAGCUCUGUCCUAAGGGAAGAAGAGGACGGUACCUUAGGAGGAAGCCCCGGCUAACCACGUGCCAGCAGCCGCGGUAAUACGUAGGGGGCGAGCGUUAUCCGGAAUUACUGGGCGUAAAGGGUGCGUAGGCGGCCUUUUAAGUCAGAUGUGAAAGGCUACGGCUUAACCGUAGUUAGCAUUUGAAACUAAGAGGCUUGAGUGCAGGAGAGGAGAGUGGAAUUCCUAGUGUAGCGGUGAAAUGCGUAGAUAUUAGGAGGAACACCAGUGGCGAAGGCGACUCUCUGGACUGCAACUGACGCUGAGGCACGAAAGCGUGGGUAGCGAACAGGAUUAGAUACCCUGGUAGUCCACGCCGUAAACGAUGAGUGCUAGGUGUUGGUGGGGACACCCAUCAGUGCCGCAGCUAACGCAUUAAGCACUCCGCCUGGGGAGUACGGUCGCAAGACUGAAACUCAAAGGAAUUGACGGGGACCCGCACAAGCAGCGGAGCAUGUGGUUUAAUUCGACGCAACGCGAAGAACCUUACCAGGGCUUGACAUCCCUCUGACCGGUGUAGAGAUACACCUUCCCUUCGGGGCAGGGGUGACAGGUGGUGCAUGGUUGUCGUCAGCUCGUGUCGUGAGAUGUUGGGUUAAGUCCCGCAACGAGCGCAACCCUUG
rnacentral:rRNA from 1 species